rnacentral:rRNA from 1 species
GACGGAGGGCGCAAGCGUUGUUCGGAAUCACUGGGCGUAAAGCGCGCGCAGGCGGGAAGGUAAGUCGGAAGUGAAAAUUCCGGGGGCUCAACCCCCGGAGCUGCUCCCGAUACUGUCUUUCUGGGGACCGGUAGAGGUCGGUGGAAUUGCAGGUGUAGCGGUGGAAUGCGUAGAGAUCUGCAAGAACACCCCGUGGCGAAGGCGGCCGACUGGGCCGGAUCCGACGCUGAGGCGCGAAAAGCGUGGGGGAGCAAACAGG